UAUGGAGAGUUUGAUCCUGGCUCAGGAUGAACGCUGGCGGCGUGCCUAAUACAUGCAAGUCGAGCGAACGGACGAGAAGCUUGCUUCUCUGAUGUUAGCGGCGGACGGGUGAGUAACACGUGGAUAACCUACCUAUAAGACUGGGAUAACUUCGGGAAACCGGAGCUAAUACCGGAUAAUAUUUUGAACCGCAUGGUUCAAAAGUGAAAGACGGUCUUGCUGUCACUUAUAGAUGGAUCCGCGCUGCAUUAGCUAGUUGGUAAGGUAACGGCUUACCAAGGCAACGAUGCAUAGCCGACCUGAGAGGGUGAUCGGCCACACUGGAACUGAGACACGGUCCAGACUCCUACGGGAGGCAGCAGUAGGGAAUCUUCCGCAAUGGGCGAAAGCCUGACGGAGCAACGCCGCGUGAGUGAUGAAGGUCUUCGGAUCGUAAAACUCUGUUAUUAGGGAAGAACAUAUGUGUAAGUAACUGUGCACAUCUUGACGGUACCUAAUCAGAAAGCCACGGCUAACUACGUGCCAGCAGCCGCGGUAAUACGUAGGUGGCAAGCGUUAUCCGGAAUUAUUGGGCGUAAAGCGCGCGUAGGCGGUUUUUUAAGUCUGAUGUGAAAGCCCACGGCUCAACCGUGGAGGGUCAUUGGAAACUGGAAAACUUGAGUGCAGAAGAGGAAAGUGGAAUUCCAUGUGUAGCGGUGAAAUGCGCAGAGAUAUGGAGGAACACCAGUGGCGAAGGCGACUUUCUGGUCUGUAACUGACGCUGAUGUGCGAAAGCGUGGGGAUCAAACAGGAUUAGAUACCCUGGUAGUCCACGCCGUAAACGAUGAGUGCUAAGUGUUAGGGGGUUUCCGCCCCUUAGUGCUGCAGCUAACGCAUUAAGCACUCCGCCUGGGGAGUACGACCGCAAGGUUGAAACUCAAAGGAAUUGACGGGGACCCGCACAAGCGGUGGAGCAUGUGGUUUAAUUCGAAGCAACGCGAAGAACCUUACCAAAUCUUGACAUCCUUUGACAACUCUAGAGAUAGAGCUUUCCCCUUCGGGGGACAAAGUGACAGGUGGUGCAUGGUUGUCGUCAGCUCGUGUCGUGAGAUGUUGGGUUAAGUCCCGCAACGAGCGCAACCCUUAAGCUUAGUUGCCAUCAUUAAGUUGGGCACUCUAAGUUGACUGCCGGUGACAAACCGGAGGAAGGUGGGGAUGACGUCAAAUCAUCAUGCCCCUUAUGAUUUGGGCUACACACGUGCUACAAUGGACAAUACAAAGGGCAGCGAAACCGCGAGGUCAAGCAAAUCCCAUAAAGUUGUUCUCAGUUCGGAUUGUAGUCUGCAACUCGACUACAUGAAGCUGGAAUCGCUAGUAAUCGUAGAUCAGCAUGCUACGGUGAAUACGUUCCCGGGUCUUGUACACACCGCCCGUCACACCACGAGAGUUUGUAACACCCGAAGCCGGUGGAGUAACCUUUUAGGAGCUAGCCGUCGAAGGUGGGACAAAUGAUUGGGGUGAAGUCGUAACAAGGUAGCCGUAUCGGAAGGUGCGGCUGGAUCACCUCCUUU
rnacentral:rRNA from 1 species